rnacentral:misc_RNA from 1 species
UUUCCGUAGGUGAACCUGCGGAAGGAUCAUAACAGAGUUCAUGCCCUCACGGGUAGAUCUCCCACCCUUGAAUAUUUAUACCUUAGUUGCUUUGGCAGGCCGUGGAAACACCAUGGGCUCCGGCUUAUGCGUGCCUGCCAGAGGAAACAAACUCUGUUUUUAGUGAUGUCUGAGUACUAUAUAAUAGUUAAAACUUUCAACAACGGAUCUCUUGGUUCUG